GAUCCCAUUUUAGUACCGCUCAUUUGAAACCACAGAAUGGGUGGCUAUGCUAAUGGGAAAGAGAGUCUUUGCUGUGUGUCUUGAGAAAGAAGGCGACUGUCUUUCCAGGAUGACAUGGCAGAACAUUUCUUU
rnacentral:snoRNA from 1 species